AGAGUUUGAUCCUGGCUCAGGACGAACGCUGGCGGCGUGCUUAGCACAUGCAAGUCGAACGGAAAGGCCCUGCUUUUGUGGGGUGCUCGAGUGGCGAACGGGUGAGUAACACGUGAGUAACCUGCCCUUGACUUUGGGAUAACUUCAGGAAACUGGGGCUAAUACCGGAUAGGAGCUCCUGCUGCAUGGUGGGGGUUGGAAAGUUUCGGCGGUUGGGGAUGGACUCGCGGCUUAUCAGCUUGUUGGUGGGGUAGUGGCUUACCAAGGCUUUGACGGGUAGCCGGCCUGAGAGGGUGACCGGCCACAUUGGGACUGAGAUACGGCCCAGACUCCUACGGGAGGCAGCAGUGGGGAAUAUUGCACAAUGGGCGGAAGCCUGAUGCAGCAACGCCGCGUGCGGGAUGACGGCCUUCGGGUUGUAAACCGCUUUCGCCUGUGACGAAGCGUGAGUGACGGUAAUGGGUAAAGAAGCACCGGCUAACUACGUGCCAGCAGCCGCGGUAAUAC
rnacentral:rRNA from 1 species